rnacentral:snRNA from 1 species
AUAUUAAAUUAGCGAUUUUGCUAUAUCUCACUCGAAAGAUUUUUUCUUAUCUCUCACUCGAUUUUCUCACUCAAAUUUACAGUGCAUUUUAUGAAACUUACACUGUAACUUUUGUAAGUUACACUGUAAUUUUUGAAUCUUCACAUGUAAAUUUUAAAUUUUGUAUUGGAUUUAGUCUUUUUCUUGAGGAUAUGGU